CGUCCUUUCUACAGCCUCUUCAGAUUCUGUGUCCAAUGACAGACAAACUCAUGAAAGAGAGGGCUGAGCCAGGAGCCCCGCAGUCCUAGGGUGCAUGUGACUUUGGACUGGACACCAGGCUGGCUGCCGCCAUAGCUUCCAUACCCACAUGGGCAACAGUGGAGAUCCCUACCCACCUCCACUCAGCUGUGCUCAGGUUCACUGUCUGCCCAUCUCUAUGUGCUGUUAGGUGAGAGCCCUGCCCAGGGACCCAUCUCUGAAGAGGUGGGCACUCUGUGUGGCUUCAAGGGGACUGGGCAGGGUUUGAGUCAAACUCAGAAGUGACCUGGCACCUUCUGAUGACUGUAUCUAUCUUUAGGCAGCUAUGUCUUUUAAGGUUCUUAAGUGACUCAGCAGUUCAGGGAGCAUAGGUAUUGAGUACCUACUGUACUCACACAGAUGAGGAAAGCAAGGCUCAGAGAAGGCUCCAAAGGCCCUGGUAGGUAGAAGACGAGUACUGAAGCUGAGGCCAGCUGACUUCUAAGGUCUCUUCAGUCCUGUGCAGGGCCCCUCCUGACAGUAGCUGAGCAAUUUAUGGAGGUUAAACUACACCAGUUAUGCAGAGGGCAUUAUUUAGGAAGCUUUGCUAAUUCAUUUGUAAAUAUCUGUCUAUCACUUUUUUGGUAUAAAGAGGCAUGAAUGUGUUUUCUGACAGUGCUGGCCUCCAAGAACACAAGAGUCAUCUAGCAGUAGGCUGUGCUGGUGGAUAGGGAACCAAGGAGUGGGGAAGGUGGCCAGGGUUUCUGAGCGCCAGAAUGUUCUCAAAGUUCAUAUUUGAAGUUUCAGCAUUAAAUUUUAUGCAAGAACAAAUUACUGUCACCUUACCAGGGAGCUAAGGGAAAUGCAACUCUGUCCCCACAUAACUGGGUUCCUUGGUUUCUAUUCUAUUAAUUUUUGUUGGAAACUUAUGAUGUCCCCUCACCUAUUAGGAAGAAAGGGUCAGUGUCCUCCUGGUCCCAUUUAGUUUUACUAGUCGUACGGGGGCCUCUCCAGUAGUGGAAAGAGAGAGGCAAAAGUUUGGAGAAGCUGAGGCAGAGACCAGGAGUGUCAAAGCAACUGGGACGCGGAGAAGAAGUGGAGGUCAUGGGUCUCCAGUGCUGUCCGCAGUGACUGUUGCUGCUCGCGAGCUCAUCUCCCAAAUGCCAGACACAUGGUGAUGACUAUGAAAAGGAAACAAGCAGAAAAAGGAAGAUACCAGCCCUGGUGCCAAGCCAUCUGAAGGGGCCUUUAGCAUCAUUCUCCUCCCGGCUGCCUCUUUAGCAGUAACAGGGCCGGAAACAAGCCAACCCAAGGAAGGAGCAGGCCAGAUUCCCUCUAGUGUCCCUCUGGAGAGGCAUCCAUCAAUCAGCACCUUUAUAUGCCAGCCUCUGCUACUCGCUGCAAAAUAUACCAAGGAAUAUGGCGCAGCCUGGGCCCUGAAGGAACUUGUGUUAGAGUUGGAGAAAGGAAACACAGACACGUUUUUACGUUAUGAGGACGAGGCUGAACCUGUGGAAGUAGUACCUGUGUAAGUGGGCAUUAUGUUGACUGCAGACUUCUACAUCCAGCAGUGUGCCCGAGACAUGGAAGGUGUUUGGAAAAAGCUCGUGUGGCAGGCAAGGGGCUGGGCACCAAAGGCAGCUGAGCACAGCUACCCCUUCCAGGGAGCUUAUCAUUCCCUGUCUGGAGGCUGGCAGGCCUUGCAGGUUCCAUUCACCCCUGGAGUUGGCCCAAACCUCCAGGGCCCUGAGAGCGGGCAUCAUUUUCUGGGGGAUCCCCUGCAUUCUGCUAGAUUUCUGGGGGACUGUCCCCACCGCUCUGACACCUCCUAAAACCCUCUGGCAGUGCCUCCCGGCUGUCCUAGCACAUCCCUGAUCUCUCUUUUGAAUGAACGAACCAUGAACCUUCACACAGGUCCAUGUUUAUUCUGACCUUUACCACAAGGGGCCGCUAUUUCCCUAACAGAGUGAUGGGAGGAGCCCAGCCGGUGCCGGAAAGGCUGCACCUGCAUGCGCAGGGGGUGGGAUGCAGCCAGGAUUCCACCUCUGGUAGGUGUCUCUAUUCCUCUGGGAGCGUGGAAACAAGUCCUGCCACCGAUGGUGGGCAGGAGGUCUGUUUACAAAGGCUAAGGAAGCUUUGGGUACGUAUUCGUUGGUAAAAUCUUUGAGUGAAGGUGAAGAUUUUUUGCUUUUUGUAUAUUUAGGGGGAUGAGGGGGUCAGGGCAGAAACUAC